rnacentral:ncRNA from 2 species
UGAAGCUGCCAGCAUGAU